rnacentral:rRNA from 1 species
ACGAACGCUUGCGGCGUGCUUAACACAUGCCAGUCGAACGGAAAGGCCCUGCUUUUGUGGGGUGCUCGAGUGGCGAACGGGUGAGUAACACGUGAGUAACCUGCCCUUGACUUUGGGAUAACUUCAGGAAACUGGGGCUAAUACCGGAUAGGAGCUCCUGCUGCAUGGUGGGGGUUGGAAAGUUUCGGCGGCUGGGGAUGGACUCGCGGCUUAUCAGCUUGUUGGUGGGGUAGUGGCUUACCAAGGCUUUGACGGGUAGCCGGCCUGAGAGGGUGACCGGCCACAUUGGGACUGAGAUACGGCCCAGACUCCUACGGGAGGCAGCAGUGGGGAAUAUUGCACAAUGGGCGGAAGCCUGAUGCAGCAACGCCGCGUGCGGGAUGACGGCCUUCGGGUUGUAUACCGCUUUCGCCUGUGACGAAGCGUGAGUGACGGUAAUGGGUAAAGAAGCACCGGCUAACUACGUG